GGAGAGCAGGAGCACAGAGUGGUGGGGAAGUGAUUAUAGGAUCUUACAGGAGCAUUGUUACAUCUUCCCUAUGACCUCAGAGCAGCUCAUUGCCUCCUGGCCAACAGCUCCCAGCUGCAGCCAGGAUCCUCUGCCCUGCUUUAGGGAUUGUUUCCCAGGCAUGACAUGGCAUGCCGUGCCAGGUGUCAGAGCCCCCCGAAGUCGAGCUGCAAACACACGUGGAUGGUGCCAUCUGCAAAGCAGUAAUUAACAGAGCCACGCCUCACAUCGCAGCCCUGAUAAGGGAUAAUUAAUGCUUUGGGUCCUGGCA